CCGCGCGCCGCGCAGGCGCAGUGCUGCAAGGAGUGGGGGGGUGCGGCCGGGUUGGGGUUCGGGUUCGUUCGCAGGCGUGAAGUUUUAUGGCAAACUAGCCUAACUUCUCUAUCUCAUACACCAAGCAGCAUACCAGACUGAAUCCAAAGGAUCUGUGAAGAUGGAACAGUUGGUGGUGGGCCUGAAUUUCAGUGUCAACUCUAAGAGAAUUUCUGACUCAGAACACUGGCAAUCUCCUCCCUUUUAUGAUUAAUUUUUUAUGAACUUAUCUACCUGAACCAGCCCUCCUUAGGAUCAGAGGAAUGCCAGGAAUAUGUAGCUGGGGACACGGCAGGGAGAGCAGACUGGCUGUUCUGGCAGAAGCCAGCUAUUCUGUCAGCUUAGCUGUGUUGUCAAACCACGUGAAACCUCCAUCCCAACUGCUGCUGCUGUCAGUCCUUCUGCUAAGAGGGAAAGUUGAAGGAAAUCUAAUGAACAUAUGGGGAAACAGGAUCUCGCCAUGCUAUCUGGAACAAGUGGGGCUGGGGUCCUUCAGAUUACAAGAGGGAAUACAGUCUGCACGGAUAUUGCAGGACACCCUGGAGAUCAUGAUAGAGAGAAACCCAACUGCAAAAACUCAGUUCAGGUCCAGCAGGUCUUAUUAACUCUGGUUCAGUGCCAACACUGCGAGACUGCCAGCUGGCCCCUCAGCUAUUUGACUGUCUUUGCUGCAUGCUUUCCCGGUGCUCCAGGUUCUGAAAGGGCCUUGUAUGUACCAACGGAGCCAGCGCAGGUCUGGCACUGCCUCCUGUCUAAUGUGCCCUUCUAGGAGUUGGAGCACAAAUCAGCGAUAACAGGCCCUUGGAGCCUUGAUGUAUGUGGACUGAAUUCUUCCAGAGCUCACUUGGAUGUCUCUGCACUGCUCUUCCCAGAACUCCCAGUCCCAGAAACAAAGCGAGGGGCCGUCCGACUCGGCGUGGGGAAACCCGGGUUCCGCUGGGUUUCUUGCUCAGGCUCUGUGCUGAAGGAAAGCAGCAUUUCUAGGACUGAACUGGUGAUUUGUAAUGGAUUUGUCAUACUUUGCUUUCGCAAAAUCUUCCUCCUUUGCAUACUGAAUAUAUCUGGACAUUUUGAGACCAAGUCCACCUUUGAGAUGACAUUACCUGCUGAAAAAGGAGUUAUAAUGGAAGUUAAUUAUUAACAACAUAAAGAUGCUUAGUCCUCUUCGUAAGACUGAAUACUCAGUUUGGAGUGUCACUGUAAACACACUUGCCACCGCUGCUUCCCAGGUUAACAUUAUUUUAAAAAUACAAAAAAAGCACAUUUUUCAGUGAAAGUGCAAUCCUUCCAAGACCUGAUGGAUCUUGCAAGGUUUGGCAAGUAGGGAGAUCUGUUCCCUGACCUGGAAUUCCUUGGCCAGGGGUGCAAAGUGGUCCCUGCUCUGUUCUGCAGGAGGGAGCUCCCCCUGUCCUGCGCCAGCCCUGCUGGAGGACAAGCAGAUGUGAUGCAGAGCAGGCUCCUCGCUGCUGCCCUCCCUGCGCUUGGUGAAACCUUGUGAGCAAAGUCUGAACUCCAUGACUGAGCCGUUAAGGGGAAGUAGAAGUCGGACCCGAUAACUUUUUCCAAGCUUAUAUAUCCUGGUGGCUGCUGCUACUGUUAAAUAUGAUAAACUCCUAUUUGUUCACUUUAGCUUGCUGUCAGCAGUUGCUGUUUGCUGGGGCAAGCCCAGGACGUUUUCCUCCCCACCUGUCAAGCUUGGAGUGUGCUUUGGCACCCUGCCACUGCAGAGCCUCAACGACUUGAGCAGACAGCUUCAGGAACAAGACAUCCCAGUACUUAAGCCGCCUCUGCUUCAUGAGCUUUUCUUCCCAUCUGUAUACUUUCUGAAGAAGAAAAUGUUUGCUGGUCAAAGAGGUUUUCCACAUGCACCUCCUUCAGCUUUCCAUUACCGCUAGGAGGUUAUACGGGGUGCAGUGCCAUACACUGUACUGCACUAUAUGCAGAGGUGUUCAGACUUAAUUUAUUCCCUUCUCCUGGAUAAAGAUUAUUGCAGCUGUGUGUUUUGGAAAACUAUCAAUGAAGGGAGUUCAGCUCAUACAACACACUUUCAAUAGGGUACUGUACUCUAUAUUUCCAGGUUCUGUUUUAAUUACACUUGCAUAUUACCUUGGAGGAAGCUGAAAUCUGGAAAAUGUUUUCUCAUAUACCAUGUCUUAAACCUUCCUGACCUUCUGUUUUAUACCAAGUACAUUUAUGCUUGUGAUCAAAACCAUAUAAUAUGGGAAAGGCUUGGCUAUCCGGGAUAAUCCAUCAGGGGCAUGCUGUCAGUUCCCCCUAGCAAAGACUGAGCAAUUUUCACCGAGAAAUGCCCCCGCCAUCCCUCACUCCCCACCUUCCAGCAAAGUCCCUCUUCCGCUUCGCGCGGCUCCCAGUGAGAGCUACAGGACUGGGCCAGGUUGGGAGCAGGGUGGCAAGCAGCCUUCCCCUGUGGUGGCUGGGGCUCCUGCUGCUCUGAAGCAUCCUGGAGGGACAAAGCAAUGGGACGGCUCACAGUGUCAGUGUAUUGCCCGUAUCCCAAUAAGAACAUCAGUGCCUCCUGCCACUGCUGGGCUGGGGAGGUGAGCAGCAUCCAUAUUACCCACACUGGAGGCUGCAGUGCCGAACGCAGCCUGAUGCUCGGCGCUCAGGUCUCCCUGUGACAGCCAGCAUUCUCCAGGGAGAGCCAGGUGCCUGUGAGGGCUGCUGAAUGCAUAAAAAACCCGUGCAAACCAGACCUCUGUUCCAGAGGCUUUCAUGUAAUCUUUAGAUCCAUGCCAAUGGGAGCACGUCUUGAUCUUCACAUCUCUACAUGUCUGGAGAAUGUCCCAAGGGAAAGGCGUUUAGCAAAUAUGUGUUUGCAGGAAAGGAUCUGUCAGUCCUCUGCCCAGCACUUGGUCAGCAUUUGGGAAGUAUAGAUUGCUGUCUUUAAUCCCUUGCUGAGAAGCUCUCUCCCGUGGCAGCCUAGGAAGGUGUCGAGCAAUGCUGCCAGGCACUGGUCUGCUCCUGGGGCUGCUGCUCACACAGCUCGUGAGCUUGCGCCUUGUCUCAGCGCCUCGUUCUGAAAAACAAGGGAACUUUUACUUUUAACAGGAAUAAAAUAAAUCUUGUCAAACAGAAA